UCUCUUCUAAUUAAUCACUUCAAUUUUCCAUUCUUUUUUAGUUAUCACUCAAAUGUUUCCACUCCAAGAAAAAGGGGAACAGAAAAACAUGAAAUAAGAAUUUCAUUGUAAAAUGACAAGACAUGAUGGACGAUAUUAAGGCUUUAAUGAACACAUAAUUUAUCUUAGCAAACCUGUUUAGUUGGUUUGGGCAUGAAAAGUGAAUUUAAUCUCUAGUUUCGUAUGCUUGAUUACGGAGUAGACAGGUAGGAUCAGAUAAUUCUAUCUUUUUGUAGGCUUAAUCUAUCGCCUAUUUGAUAGCAAACCAGCUAAAGAAACCCUGUUUGGGAUGUGUAAUGUGCUCCUAUUUACUCUUAGCCAGCCAGGCUCCCCUGCCCACCCCCAAUAGUGACAUCAACCAAUGAUUUCUAUCAAUGAUUGCUGCAACAUCAGUUUUGAGUAUGGGGAUCCUCCAUGCUCAGAAUAAGGCGAGUGGAUGUCGGUUUUCUAUUAUUUGCAAACUAAAACCAGAGUCGUCCAUCUUUAAUUGCGAAGGAUACUAACAUUAAAGAUGAAAUGUUUCAAGUCUUUGUACAAUUUACAUACGCUUGUUCCUGUUAAUUGAUUUCUCCUUUUUGUUUU